GCUCGUCUCUGUGUGUUUAUCCGGGUAGGCACCGAAGACUGAAAGUGGGGACCAUGAGGACUUUCUGUGGCCUCCUGCCCUACUCAGUGAAGAAGCCAGAAGAGGCUCAACUCCUCUGAGUCACCUUGUCAAAAUAAGGACUGCAGAAAUGGCUUCAAAGCUUCUUUUCCUGAUGGUGGAACACCAACUGGUCAUCAAUUUCCCCACACAUUCUCCCCAGCAUGAGUUUUCACUGGUCCAGAUCUUGACCUACCCAACAGGUCUGGGCUCCUCCCUCCCUUUACCCCAGUGCUUGGUCAUGCUUGAACCAGAGAAGUACCCUUAUAAAAACUCACCCUGCUUUAUUGGUUUGGGAUUCCUAUUUCCACUCAGGAGUCCAUCAGACCUGCCUUAUGUCCAUCGUCCCUGACCACCUCCUUCUUAUUGUAUUUCUCCUUAAUAAAAUUUGCUUGGUUCACUUUC